GAAAUGGUGCUUUAAGCCAGGACAAAAACCGGGAGAGUCUGACCAAACACAGAGCAACAGAGAACAGGGCGGGAUGGAGGAAGCCCGCUCAGAUCCCGAGGGCUGGCUGAACGUGGGGCAACGGAAAGGACAGUGUUCCCUGGGGUCCCAUUCACCGAGUCAGGAAAUACAGGAGGGGAGACCGCCUGUUUGGAGGAAAAGCGUUACUGAGACAUAUUUGACGUAUAUCACUGUGUAAGCUGAAAGUGCAAACAGGAUGAUUUCAGACAUGUCUCCAUCUACCAACCGCCCUCUCAAUACUCCUCCUUCACAGCCGAGGGCCUUGAGAGAGCAGCUACCUUUGCUCUCACCUCCCCUGUACCUUCCAACAACUGUAAGCAAGCUUCCACCUGCAUCGCUCCAGGGAAACUCAUGUGGCAAAGGUCACCGCCAAUGACCUUCUAAAUGUCAAAAGCAUUGAACGCUUUCCAGUUCCAGUCUUCUGGAGUUUUCUGUGGCUUUUGAGACUUUGGAUCAACCCUUUACUCCUGAAACUGUUUCCUAUUCUGACUUCUGGAACUUCUACCAGAACUAUUUCUCCAACAAGGAAAUCUGAUUAUGUCACUUUUUUGCUUAAAACAGGUAAAUGAGGAAAGGACAUGAAUAAACAGCUGACUAAAAGAAUAUAAACGGCCAAAGAACACAUGAAAAUAUAUUCAGCCUCACAAAAAAUUAAAGAAAUGUAAAUUGAGACAUUCAGAAUACCAAGUUUUACUUACCAAACUGGCAAAGAUUUCAAAGUAUAAUCAUGUCUAGUGUUGGCAAGUGUGUGGAGAAAUAGACACUCUGAUACACUACUGGGCGUAGGAGGUGGGUAGACACUGUUGAAAUCUUAGGAGACAUAAUUUGGUAACAUCUAUCAAAAUUUUCACGCCCAUAACCCCCCGAGCUUUGGCCGCUCCAGCCAUACCAAGUAACUUCCAGCAGUUUUGUGAAUGUCUAUGUGCUGUGCUUUCACAUGAGCAAGAGGUUACAGCGCAGGAGACUAGCAAUUCCACUCUUGGAAUCUAAUCUUACCUAAAUUCAAAGGUAUACAGUAUGCACAAGAAUGCUUCCUGCAACAUUUUUGUUACAGUAAACAAAAAAUCUAAAUGUUUAUCAUUAGAGAGCUGACGAAUUAUGGUUCACCCUUACAAUGGAAUAAUGUACAAGCGUUAAAAAGAAUGAGGCAGGUGUGGUCAUGUGAAAAGAUCUCCAAGAUAACUGAAAGUGAAAUAGCAAGUUUCAGAAGAGUAAUGGACCAUAUGAUCCCAAGCAAGUAUGUGUAUGCUGCAUAUACACAUGGGUGUGUGUGUGCACACACACAGAGACAUAUGCAUAGAAAUGUUCUGAAACAAUACACAAGAAAAUGUUAAUCUUGAAUAUCCAUAAGGAAAUGAGACUAAGGAAUUGCAUGUGGGAAGGGGGCUCUUGCUCCUUACUAUACACUCCUCUGAAUUGUUU